AGAAGUAGACGAUUCUCUGUGGCAUUUCGUCGAACAGUUUAUGUACAAUAUAAAGAACCACCCUCUGCUCUCCAUUGCUAUCCCAUUAAACCUCGGAAUACGCCUCCUAAUCUCUUCAUCGGCAAUGGCCGCCGGUACGGAAACGUUUUCUUCGAUGAGAAUUACAAUCUUGUCCCUGAAUUUCCUUCUUGGAAUCGUCUCUUGCAUCAUUUCAAUUCCUCCGGCCUGGUUGAUCAGGAAAAGGUGAAAGAAUUUGUUGCUGAGCAAGUUCAAGAAUCGGAAGAGGGAAUUUCUACGGACUGCAUUGUUAGUGGUGCCUUUAUGAAAAUUGUUGGAAAAGAGCAAGAGUUUUGUUAUGGUUAAGGAUUGGGAACAAAGCCAACAAGUAGGAGAUCCACACAUAGAAUUUACAAGCAAUUAUAAGCACAAAAGGGAGCUAGGAAAAGAAUGUCAUUAACGAGAGAGUAUAGGAUCCGAUGGAAGUACAAAAUUAUCUUGUGGAGAAAUGGAAAACUCGAGAAGUCAUGAAAGCUCGUCUUGAACGGGCAAAAAUCUUAAGUGAGUAUCAUGGCACUAUUUUCCCAUAUUCAGAAUUCAAGUCCUCCUUUUGAGCCAUACGAUCCAAGGUAUGCUGCCAUGGGUCUACCCAUGGAUCCUUACUUGCGUGCAUUCAAGCUGAACCCCAACUUAGG